AGAGUUUGAUCCUGGCUCAGAAUGAACGCUGGCGGCGUGGAUAAGACAUGCAAGUCGAACGGAAACACUGAUUAGUUUACUAAGAUGUGUUUUAGUGGCGGACGGGUUAGUAACACGUGAGCAACCUGCCUCGAAGCGGGGGAUAGCCUUCCGAAAGGGAGAUUAAUACCGCAUAUGGUCGCCUUUGAAAGGGUGGAUCAAAGAAGCCUUCGGGUUUCACUUCGAGAUGGGCUCGCGGCCUAUCAGCUAGUUGGUGAGGUAAUGGCUCACCAAGGCAACGACGGGUAGCUGGUCUGAGAGGAUGAUCAGCAACACUGGAACUGAGACACGGUCCAGACACCUACGGGUGGCAGCAGUCGAGAAUCAUUCACAAUGGACGAAAGUCUGAUGGUGCAACGCCCCGUGGAGGAUGAAGGCCCUAAGGUCGUAAACUCCUGUCAUAAUAAAGUAAGACAUAUUGGGUUAAUACCCCGGUAUGUUUGAUAGUAUAUUAAGAGGAAAGGACGGCUAACUUCGUGGCAGCAGCCCCGGGAAUACCAAGGGCCCGAGCGUUAUUUUGAAUCCCUGGGGCGUAAAAGUAACUAAGCGGUUUUGGUAAAUCAGGGGGGAAUCCCCCAAACUCAACUUUCGAAAUUGGUUCCGAUAUUGCCCGAACUAAAGUAAUGGGAGGGGCCGGGGGAAAUUUCGGGGGUUCCACUG
rnacentral:rRNA from 1 species